CAGUCGCCGCGGUAAUACAGAGGGUGCGAGCGUUAAUCGGAUUUACUGGGCGUAAAGCGUGCGUAGGCGGCUUUUUAAGUCGGAUGUGAAAUCCCUGAGCUUAACUUAGGAAUUGCAUUCGAUACUGGGAAGCUAGAGUAUGGGAGAGGAUGGUAGAAUUCCAGGUGUAGCGGUGAAAUGCGUAGAUAUAUGAAGGAAUACCAGUGGCGAAGGCGACCACCUGGACUGAUACUGACACUGAGGUGCGAAAGCAUGGGGAGCAAACAGGAUUAGAUACCCGCGUAGUCCCUGUCUCUUAUAC
rnacentral:rRNA from 1 species